rnacentral:lncRNA from 1 species
GGUAGAAUCCCUGUAAGUCCUCAACUAGACAGAUUGAACAAUCCAAACAUUUACGCGAACAACAGCGGAAUCUGUGGAAUGCAAAUCCAAGUACCAUGCUCUCCUACACAGACCAAGCAGCCAGCUGAGGAAAAAGAAGAAGAAGAAGAAGAAGACAAAGAAGAGGAAACAAUGUUUUCAUGGAAAGCUGCAGUCAUAGGUUGUUCUUGUGGAUUUCUUAUAGCAGUUGUAUUCAUGUCAUACAAUGGGAUAUGGAAGUAACAAUCCCAAAAUGUACUCCUAAAAAUAAUUUAAAAUAAAAUUUUCUUUUUAAGUUCAUCAUUCCACAUUACCAAUUGAAAAUUUAUUUAUGAUGAUUACAAAUAUAACAUGUCGUUAUUUUGAUAAAAGGAACAGAUCAUCACUCUCUAACAGAACCAGAGCAAUCGAAACGGAGCACAUGGCAAAAUCUACCAGGAAACUACUAAUAUUCCGACUAAAGGAAGACGAGAGCCAUUGCGAUGGAAGCUGAAACACUUACGACAUGAAUCUGCUACAAGGCGGAGUACAACACCACCGUGAAAUCCACCCUAAAUCAUCACCCACCAACGACGGCGACCGCUACUAACACAGGAGACGCCAUGGGCCUUCUCACAAAAUAUUAAAAUUAACCCCAAAUCCGAUAACCGAUCCGAAUAAUCCGAUUUCGAAACCGAACCGAAUAGUUACAAA